UUGGAUCUUUUAUGAGAGGAGCGUGCAGAGGGAGGUGGUUUCACAAUAUUACUGCUGUGACAUGUGCAUGUGACAGUCAAGGCAGCUGAAGCUGAAACGUGGAAAGUCUGCUGUGAGCAGUUACUUUCUGCAAGGAAGCUCCCCAGCACAUUGUUGCAUUUGUGAGAGGGCAAGGGCCUGGGACCAUCAGAUUCUACCUUGCUAUAAAAUUGGAGGAAGAUUCAUAACAGAAGAGGUUCCCAUCAUACUAAGUUGCUGACUUUGCUACAAGUAUGGGGAAAGGUAAAGGAAAAGCAUUAUCCAGAUUUUCUGCUCUGGAGUGAAGCAUUCCAGCUCAUUCAUUCACAAAUCAGAAGUUUGUUCAGGGGAAGUUUCACUAAGUAAGUAGCCCCAAGGAUUUAGAGAUAAGCCUAAAUCCAAGAUAAAUUGUAUGCAUGAAGUAUGGAAGAUGCCAUGACUAUAAAUGUUCUGUGGAGCACAUGUGGAUAAAACUAAACCAACAUCUACAAUUCUGCAUUACAUUCUUUAAAUGUUGAGCAAACUCAGGAUUUUUAUCUCAACAGAUGUGGGGAGGGUAAAGGUUUUAGUUCAAGAAAUGAACAAUAUGGACCUGCUCUGAUUACAGUCUACUGUGUCAAUUCAUAGGAAAAUCAAGACACUUGGGAACCUGCUACAAGCUUACAGAUACUUGACCUCUGUGAAGAGCCUGAUGA